rnacentral:tRNA from 1 species
GCCCGCAUAGCUCAGUGGUAGAGCGCGUUCUUGGUAAGAACGAGGUCAUGAGUUCAACUCUCAUUGCGGGCUCCA